UUUUUGGUGGCUUGUUCAGCCUUUUAUUGAAUAAUCAAACCAAAUAUGUACAAAGCCCAUGGCCCAUGGCCCAAACAAAACAAAGCAAAAAAUAGGAUGGGUCUACAAGACCCGAUCCAUUUACUAUCCAAUCCCUUACAAUUAGGGUAUAUGUUUCUUAUUGGAAAGUACUCCCAUGAACGAAAUUUCCCUACUUUGAUGCUGCCCUUCUGACUCUUGAUGUUCUUCCUCCAUUGUUCUCCAUGAUGAAGCUCAAUUUGCUCAGGUAAUGUUCUCUUCCAUUUUGCUUCAUUUCUUGUUUUAUCUACUCUCUUAAUCUUCCAUUUAUUUUCAGCUUGACUUAGCUCCAUUUCCAUGAUGAAGGAUCAACUUGUUGCUCUAAUCUGCACCGCAAUCCGCCUUGAUUGAAGCCUUUUAGCUGAGUUUGCUCCUCCUCGAUCUACAUAGCCCUUCCCCCCCCCCCCUUUUUUUUUUUUUUUACUACUCCUAUCUAUCAAAUACUGUGUGGUGAUCUUGUUGUUACUUUCUAGAAUAUUUGUGAAAAAGUGAUGUUCAUCGCCCUUCUCUGUUAAUGCUUGAUGUCGAAUGUAAUUAAUCUUGUGUGAUUUCUGGCCUGUCAUGGACUCAUUGUGGGAUGAUUGUGCGUGUUCUAAUUCUGAAUGUAGGAAUUUGAGCUUUGUCUGCGUUUAAAAUCCUUCUUUCCUUCAAUGGUAGUUCCUGGAAACAACUAUAUUGAUGUUCUGCCUGUGAUUCUAUAACUAUAUUAGCCAAUGAAUCUGCCAAACUAUUACCCUCUCUAAAUAUGUGUGUGAUCUUUGCUCUAAUCUUUUCCAUAAUCUCUCUGAUCUCUUCCACUUUUUCUGCUAUUUUCCAUGGAACCCUCCAAGACUGCUGAAUGAUUUUCUUGAGACUGAGUGAAUCAGUCUCAACAAUCACAUUCUGCAUUUUUCUGUUAAAACACUCUCUAAGGGCUGUUAAAAUGGCAACAGUUUCUGCUUCCAUAUUUGUUGCAAUUCCAAUACCUUUAGCUUUAGCAUAUAUUAGAUCCCCUUUAUCAUCUCUAAUACAAAACCCAAAAGAACUCCAACCAGGAUUACCUAUGCAUGCUCCAUCAAUGUUACACUUUACAUAAUGAUCUUCAGGAGGUUUCCAAGUGACCCUCAAGAAGUGUAUCUUUGGCUUGUACUGAUUGAGCCCUUGUAUUAUGUCUUGCCAAGUCCAUCUCAUAUUCUUUAUCCAUGGAAACUGAGUCUUCACCAUCUGCCUUACCACUUCUAUUGCCAUUUCCACCAUUAUUUCCCAACUGAUGUUACUUCCAUGUUUGAGGGCAUUUCUUCUCUUCCAUAAAGUCCACAUGAUGAUGGCUGGUAUUACUUUGAAUAUGCUCUGCAAUUUUGGUGUUGCCUCAUGUCUCCACCAAGCUAUUAUGAGUUGUUGAAGAUGCAUUCCAUCAAUAUUGAUUCCUGCAAAAUGAGCAAAGUACCUCCAUAGCUUGUAGGCUAUGGGGGCUGUUAGGAAUAAAUGUGUCAUUGUUUCCUCCUCUUUCUUGUCACAACACCAACAUCUGGACACUAUAUUGAUUCUCAUCUUUUUAAGAUUGUCAUCAGUGGCAAUCCUCCUUUUCCAUACUCUCCACAAGAAAAAAUUAAUCUUAAAAGGCAACCCCUUAUUCCAGAUUAGCUCAUAGUCUCUUCUAUUUUCAUGUUUGUUUCUCAUAAUCUGCCAAGCUGAUUUAACUGUGAAUCUUCCUUGUGCAUUUGCCAUCCACCAGGCCACAUCAUUUCCAAACAAAAUGUUUGGAGGUGAAAUGUUCUCCAUAAUAUGUUCAGUCAUUUCCAGUGACAGAUUCUGAAGCAACUUCUCCCUGUCCCACCCCUCUUCUGUACUGAACUCCUUAACCUCCACCUCCUCUUCCUUUGCAGCAUCUUCUAUAUGGUACAAUGCUCCUUGUUUGGUCCAAUUGUCAAACCAAAAACUCGAAUUACCUGCCUUAUUUUGCCACCAGAUUUCAUGCUCUACUUCCUCCCUUAUUGAUGUCAUUCUUCUCCAAACAUGAGAUGUCCCAUAUCCCUGAGCAAUAAUAGGGUGAUGCUUCUUACAGUAUUUGUUCCACAUAAAAGAUGCCCAUAAAGUGAUUGUGGAAGUUCUGAAGUUCCACCAGAGCUUGGCAAACAGGGCUUUUGAAACAUCAUGUAAUGAUCUCCAUCCCAAUCCUCCUUCCCCUCUUGGAUAGCACAUUCUGUCCCAGCUUACCCAGUGCUUGUUCUUGGCCCCAGUAGUGUUAGCCCAAAAGAACUUAGCAAAAAUUCUAUGCAGUUGGGUAAUGACACACGCUGGAGGGUUCAUGGCAGAAAGUACAUAUAUUGGCAAUGAUUGUAGUACAUUGGCUAUUAGGACAUAUCUUCCUCCAAAGGAGAGUAACCUAUUCUGCCAGGAGCUUAUUCUCUUCAUUACCUUUUUUAUCAAACUUUCAAAGUGAGUUUUGUUCUUCCUUCCAUAGAAAAUAGGACAUCCUAGAUAAGUGAAAGGAAAAGAUCCCUGCUUAAUACCUGUUAUUCUUUUUAUCUUCCUGCAUACACCAAGAGGCACAUUUUCAUGCAAAUAUAUAAAGCUCUUGUCUAGGUUUAUCAUCUGACCUGACACUUGUUCAUAUUCUCUCAACACCUUCAUCAUUUUCUUCAUUGAGUAUGACUGUCCUCUGCUGCUAUGAUAAACAAUGCUGGAGAAAGAGGAUCCCCUUGUUUUAAUCCUCUUGAAGAUUGAAAAAAACCAAAGCGCUGCCCAUUCAUAAUCACUGAGUACCAAUUGUUUGAUAUCAACCUUACCACCAUGUCAAUGAUUCUUUCUGAAAAUCCAAAACUCCUUAGCACCUUUGUGAGAAAUAUCCAAGACACUAUAUCAUAUGCUUUAGCCAUGUCCAAUUUCACCACCACAUUGUGAAGUUUAUUUCUCCUAUUUAUGUCCCUGAUGAUCUCCUGAGCUAGAAGCACAUUCUCUGUGAUGCUUCUCCCUUUCACAAACCCUGUUUGAUUCUGGGAUAUAAUAGAAGGUAGUACUUUGACUAAUCUAUCAUGUAACAGUCUUGACAUGAUCUUGUUAAUAAAUGUACUUAGGCUUAUUGGUCUCAAAUCACCAAAACUAUCCACCACCUCCUUUUUAGGAAUAAGAACCAAAUUGGUGUGAGUUAUAAACCUAGGAAGCUCCUGACCACAGAAAAAAGCUCUUACCAUGUUGACUAUGUCCCAUUUCACAGUAUCCCAACAACUCUGGAAAAAAUGUCCAGAGAAGCCAUCUGGUCCACUUGCACUAUCACCAUUUAAUGCAAAUACCACUUCUUUGAUCUCAUCUUCAGCUGGUAAUCUUCCUAUUUCUUUAUUCUGUUCUUCUGAUAUCAUUUUAGGUAUAUGUGCUAGCAUUGAAAAAUCUGUAGGCACAUAUGUCUCCUUAAAUUGUUCCUUGAACACAUUCACUGCCUCUUCCCCAAUACUUUGAGUGGUGGUUAUUGUAUCUCCUUGCCUGGUUUUUAUCACAGAUAUCUGCAUCUUUCUCCUUCUCCCAUUCACAAAAGCAUGAAAAAACUUUGUGUUUCUAUCACCAUCUUUAAACCAUCUCAUGCCUGUUUUUUGCUUCCAAUACUCUUCCUCAAUGUGCAGGUAUUCUUUUAGGUCUGCCUCAGAUUUCUUCAAUGUUGUCCUGUUUUCUUCUGAUGCAUUUAUUUCUAACUGAACCUCUUUGGCCCUUACUAAAUCCUCCAAUGUAGCUACCUGUUGAAAAAUAUUUCCAAAGGUUGUCCUACUCCAUUGCACCAAAGCCAAUUUCACCCUUUUCAUUUUGGUUUGCACUACUGUGAAUGGUGAGCCUGUUGCUUCCAUCUUCCAUACAUCCUCCACUAUUUUCUGAAAACUAUGAUGUUUUAUCCAGAAGUUGAGAAAUCUAAAAGGCUUAUAUAUUUGCUCCUGGCCUGUACUGCAAGUAACAUGUAGUGGGGCAUGAUCUGAACCCUCCCUGAUCAGAUGUUGGACUUUUGUAUUCUACAAUUCAGCCAUAAAUGCAUUAUUCCCAAAGACUCUGUCCAGUCUUUUAAAUAUACAAUCUUGCUCUAUUCUGCCAUUCCACCAGGUGUAACAACUUCCAGAGAAUUUUAUCUCAUUUAAUUCACAAGAGCUUAUGCAUUGUACAAAGUCCUCUACUUCUACUUGUGAGACAGGUAAUCCUCCUAACUUUUCAGACUCAUCAGCAAUAGUAUUGAAAUCUCCCCCUACCAUCCAAGGGCAAUCUGUGUUGCAAGCCACCUCUUCAAGGUCUUCCCACAGUUCCAUUCUCUCCAGGGCACUACAUCUAGCAUAAACUGCUGUAAUCUUGACUUGACCAUUAUUAUUUCUAUGUUUGAAAGAGACAGUAAUCUGCUGCACUGAGUCAAUACAAUCCAGCUCUUCCCACUCUUCAUCCCAAAACAACCAUAUUUUGGAAGAACAAUUAACUUUGGCAUGUUGUUUCCCAAGUCUUCUCCUGUAUCUAUCUAUUUCUGAAGGACUCUGAAAAGGCUCUAAGAGAGCAAUGUAUGAAUAGUGAUGUUUUCUAUUUAGAUCCAGUAGUCUCUCAAAAGAAUUUUGAGAUUUUACUGAUCUGAUAUUCCAAAAUAGAAUUUUACUAAUCAUUGAUCAAGACUUAAGGCCUUGCCCCUUCUAUUCUUUGUAUUAACAUAAGAUAUGCCCAAAUUGUUGUUCCUGUGAGUCCCAUAUCUUCCUUUCAAAUGUCCUAUAUGUCUUGGAGAUAAAUCUCCCUCUCUACUGAUGCAAAGUAUGUUAGCAUCCAUGUUUUCUUCUUCUUCUGUGUCUAGUUUUUUUUGUAUCUCUUGUGCCAUUUUCUUCUCAAUAUUAGGUGUGCUGAAACUAUCUGCUCCUCUCCUUGCCAAAUCAUCUUCCUUCUGCAAUUCCAGUGCAUUUAUCUUCCCUCUUUCCCUUUCCUUAUCAAUCAUUGCCUUGUUUGCCUCUAGUUGUGUCCCAUUGGAGCCUGUAUCUUUUUCAAUAGGAUUUUCUAAGCUAUCAAUUUGCUCCAAUCCCAUCUUGUUCUCUUUUAUGUGAAAAUUAGAGGACCAUGUCGCACUUUCUCUUCUAUUUCCCUCCUGUUGUGUUACUGCUUUCUGCUGAGCUGGUAAACUUUUAUUACCCUCAUCUGCUUGGUGUGUAAAAGUAUCUUGCUUAUCAUCUUCCCCUUCUAAUGCCCCAAAUUUAUUCUUUGUAGUCACCUCUGCAUUAACUUGGGAAGUUCUUACAUUCCAUACUUGUGCUGUCGUUCUAUUCUGAAUCUGAUACCCCUUUCUGUAACCAUACCUCCUCCAUUGUUCCCUGAAAUUUGUGUUCCUUUCUUUAUCCUCCUGCACUCUGUCACCUUGUUCCUGCUUUUCACCAUUAGCACAUUUUCCAUCAGCUUGAUUACCUCUUUCCCCCUUGUUUUCUUUGUUAUCUUGCUUCUGUUCUUUCUCUUCUGUCUGUUCAUCUUGUGGGAAAAGUUAUGGGUGAAUUACAUAACAGUCUUUCUCAUUGUGUCCAUGGAGCUUGCAAGUUUUGCAAUAUUUUGGAACAUAAUCAUAAUUGAUUGUCACCCAUUUUUCCAUGAUUUCCCCUGUCUUCUUCCUCAUUUCAAUAUUUAUUCUUUUUGGGAAUUCUCCCAACAGAUCCACCUCUACCUUUACCCUUGCACAACUAGGUUUUGUUUUAUUCUGAGUUGCCAGGUCUACCUGUAAUGGUCUUCCAACUGCUGCUGCCAUUGAAAAUAUUGUCUCCUUACCGAAAAAGUUCGGUGGCAAUGAUGGGAAAGAUAUCCAGGCUAUUGCGGUGGUCGUCUCCUCCUCUGGAUCAAACAAAGGGUCCCACUUCAGUGUUCGCAUUGGAUAGGACCAAUGAUUGUGAGUGAUGUAAAAUUGCGGCUUGGAUAACAGCUUCACAUAGUCCUCAAGUAGUGAUGCCCUGAUCAAUACAUAUCUGUUACACAGAAGCCCUAUGUCCACUUCCCCUUUUAGCUCACAUUGUUUUGGGAUUAACUUCCUCAGAUCUAGGAUAUCAGGCCAUCCAUAAGAAAAUUUUCCAAUCACUGCAUAUUGGAGGUCCUCGUUAAUAAUCAUCUGUUGUACUUCUUCCUCUUCUCAUACUAGCUUUGGUUCCCCAUGCAAAUAUGUUAAAGGCUUAAUCUGCAAACUAUGAUGUGGUUUUUUUGGUGCUACAAGAGUGUUUGCAUAUGAUAUUUUUAUAUCCUCUAAUGGUCCCUGCGUCUGGCCAACCUCAAUUGGCGGAGGCUGGCCGGUGGCCAUUGAAAACAGUAGGCAAAAUUAGGUUUUAGGCUUCUUGGUGUAGGGAAUUAGUUUUGCAAUCUGUUAUAGAUAUAAUAUUAUGUACAUAUAGAUUUAAAAAAAAUCUUUAAAGAUAUAUACUAAAGAUUUGAACACCCUUAACAAAAUUUCUAGCUUCACCACUAUUUCCAAUAGAACCUCAGCUCAAGUAAAGCAUCUCGAAGCACUUUAAAAAAGAGAAUACAUGAAGAUCUUUCUUUUUUAACAAUUCAUUUGAAGAUUAUUUUUUUUAAACAAUUCAUUUGAAGAUCAAAAAUAGAACAUCGAUCCAUUUGAAGAAUAAAACAUGUAAUUUUUUUGUUUGCUAAGGUUUUAAAAGUACUUCUUCGAAUGAUUUGUUUUUGUUUAGCUUCCGAAAAAUAGCUUGAACAGUAUGUCUGACUUUAAAUUAUCUUGUGAUUUAUUGAUGUCACUUGUUUGGAAAUAUUAAAAGUCACAAAAAUUCUCCUAGUUUGAUGUGUGUUUAUGGUAUCAUUCUUAAAGAUAUUUCAUCAUUGUAUGUGUAAUCUUCAGCAUUCAACAAGUUUUUUCAUUAUAAAACGAGAAGUCAAAAUCUGAUAAAAAUUUAAAUUUUUAAUAGAUCAGGCAGAAAGUGUAGUAUAGUUUGUUGUGUAAAGAAAGUGUACAAAUUAUUUUUUAAUGUCAAUUAAAAAAUGACAAUAAAGAGAGAAAACUAUAAUCUAUUUGCCAUAAUAAAUAUAUUAAAGACAAUUCAAUUUUGCAUUAAUUGACUACUGAACUGUAAAUGCAAAUAUUAGAAAAUGAAUAAUUCUUUUGAGAUGAUAAAGAAAUAUUCUUUUCAAUAACUUGUUCUCUUGUUAAUUAUUUUAUGUAUGACUUUUUUGUUAUUGUAUUUAUUUUAGAUAUUUAAUUUUUGAUAUUUGAAUCAAAGAUCUAUCAAAAUAAUCUCUUUAACUUAAUAUUGAUAGAGUGGGUUGAGACAAAAUCCACCAUGCCCUCACCCCACCCCAUUCCAUUACCAUCCCUAUUGACAUUAUAAGCAAAUUAAAAACCUUCAUCAAUUUGAGUCGGAAAGCAUAUAGGUUAUUUGAGUCUUUGCUUAAUGUUUUUUUUUAUUAUAAGAGAAUAGGUCCAAAUAUAUUCUUGUGUUAUAUAAUUUUGUACUAAACAAUUUAGAGUUAAUGUACCUUUGAUUAAAAUAGUUUUACAUUUAUACUUUGUUACACAAAUGGCUCAAUAUAUUCUCUUUGACUAAUGAAAGCUAAAAUAGUUAAUAUAAGAUCAAAUUUUCUAGUUAUUUCAAAUUAAAAUAAAAUCCACAUAAUUUAAUCAUUCUCACAAAAUUCAAAGAUAUAUUUAAUCCUUCUCUCAUAUAAGUUUUGUCUUCUUUAAUUCAACAAUUAAUUUAAAUUUAUAGCUUUGGAUGAUCAAAUAACUUCUUUUUUCACUCAUACUCUUCUUCUUAAAUUUAUCACACAUAUAACCCACCUACCCCACCCCCACCAUCCAAAAAAAGAAAAAUAUAUACAUAUGAAGAAAAAUAAAGAAUUAUUGAGAAUGAUAAAGAAUCUUGAGGCUUUAAAAGAACCUGAUUUUUUAAUUUAAAUCAAUCUUUUGAGUUUCAUCAUUUAUCGAAUUAAGCUUAUUUUAUUUAUUUAGCCCAUUUCGAUGUGCUAAAAUUCAACUCAGAAUGUGCAUUUAAUCCUCCCACCCCCCACACCCACCAACUAUAAUUAUACUUAAAUAAAAGAAAUUCAAUUUCUUUUUGGUCCAAGAAAAUUUAUAAUAUUGAUAAUAGUUUGAUCAAAUGACCGAAGAAGACAACAAAAUCAAGAAAUAUAAAAUUCUUGAUUUUUUUAACAAUACAUGGGAAAUACUUCUCAAAAAUUAUUUAAAUAAAGAAACUUAAACAUAAAACUAAUUCAUCCAAUAAAAAAACUUAUGGACACUUUGGUCCUCCUCUUUUUGUUUUCCAAUCAUUAUAGCAAGCACAACACUCUUUACCCCCACUAGUUCCUGGUGGAACACAUUGACACCAUUCACAACAUUUGUUGCAAAAAAAUAAACAAGGUUUUUUGUGAGAUGUAGCUGAACAUCUUUGAUUGCAUGCAUCUCCACAUUCUGAAAAACACAAAAAUAAAAUAAAAUAUAAUCAUUUAUCGAGUUGCUUAAAUUAAAAAUAACCAGCGAAUGUAUAAUACAUGUAUAAUGCAUGUAUAACAAGUGAUAUUGUUUUGAAAUCCUUUGUCAAUGCAACUAUUCAUAUGGUUUCAAUAUUAAUUUGCGGACCGAGAUUGAUGUUAGAAGUAAAGAAAGAUUUGUCUAAUAGUCUCGACGUUCUUGUUAGGAUGCAUUAUAUAUGUAUAAUCCAUGUAUAACAAGUGAUGGUGUUUUAAAAUCCUUUGUCAAUGCAACUAUUCAUAUGGUUUCAAUAUUAAUUUGCGGACCGAGAUUGAUGUUAGAAGUAAAGAAAGAUUUGUCUAAUAGUCUCGACGUUCUUGUUAGGAUGCAUUAUAUAUGUAUAAUCCAUGUAUAACAAGUGAUGGUGUUUUAAAAUCCUUUGUCAAUGCAACUAUGCAUAAGGUUUUUUCAAUAUUAAUUUGUGGUUCGAGAUUCAUGUUAGAAGUAAAGAAAAAUGUAUCAAACCAUCUCGAUAUUAGGAUGCAUUAUAUAUGUAUAAUCCAUGUAUAACAAGUGAUGUUGUUUUAAAAUCCCUUGUCAAUGCAACUAUGCAUAAGGUUUCAGCAUUAAUUUAUGGUUCGAGUAAAGAAAAAUUUAUCAAACAGUCUCAACGUUCUAGUUUUGAACCAAUAAAAAGGAGGUAUACUCACUAUCUGCAGCCACAGGACAAGUUGUUGGACCAGUAGGGGGCUUGUCAACUUUGAUUAUUUGUGCAUUAGACAUUAAAGCUAUGAUAAUCAAACCCAAAAAAAUGUGAAAAAACCUCAUCAUGUAUAUUUUCUUUUAGUCUUGAAAAACUAAUGUUAGUUUUCAAUUUUAAUUUUGUUUUGUGAGAAAAUGAUUUGUGAUGAAUCCUUCAAUGUGUGCAUUAUUUAUAGGCAAGAUUAAUUAUGUUAUAACCAAAAUAAUAAAUUUUUAAUUCAUUGUAGAUAUUGCUAUUAAUAUAACAUUUACUUAAGAUUUAUCUAAUAAUUAAAUGCAUAUAAAGAUAGAAUUAAUGCUCCAACCGUCCAUUUUAGUUUUCACACUUCAUUUAAAAAAUCAUAAAUAAAAAGUGUUUUUUUUUUUACUAAUUUAGCUUUUUUUUCUUUCCGUGUAAGCAAUAUUGUUUACUCUCAAAACAAUUAUUAUAUCACUCUUUUGAAUAUAAUAAAUUCAAUUAUUUGAAUAAUGCAUCGGGAGAUGAGUGAUGAUAUAAUAAAUAAUAAGAGUAAAUUAAGAAUUAAUUUUAAUAAAUUAUAUCUUGAUUUUUAAAAUUGUACAAGUAAAAGUGACAUUUUUUAGUGUAAUAAACAAGUAAAAAUAGAUGAAGAGAAUAAUAAGUCUAUGUUAAUUUUAUGAGUUGAUAAGUUUUUAGAUGAUAUUGUUAAUAAUAUUAACAACUAUUCGCUAUGUCCCUAACUACUUGUCCACUUUUGAAUUGACAAACAUAUUAAGAAAACAAUAAUUGACAUAGUGAAUUUACCAUUUUACCCCUAUUAAUUAUGAAGUGAAUGAAUUAAAAACUUAAGAUUUUCAAGAAGUUCUACCUUUUUUAAAGUAAUUAAUUGAGGGUAUAACAGAUAAAUAAAAAUUGUCCUUGCUUGAUUUGUCGAAAUAGACAAGUAAUUAGGAACAACUAAAAAAGAAAAUGUGGACAAGUAAUUAGGGACAGAGGGAAUAAUAUGGAACGAAGGUACUAGACGACUAGUUAUCUUACAUAUUGUAAUUAAAUGAACUUCAAACUAAAUUUAGCUAAAAGUUGCAUUUAUUAAAAUAAUUAAAUUAAAGACUCGUAUUAGGAUAAAAUCACAUUUUAAAAUUUAUAUUAAAUGCCUCACAUGAUAGGUGAAGUCUAUUAUUCUACGUUGUGAAUUUAUGAUUUUUAAUUAUUAGACAAAAGAGUUCAAAUAUACUAACGAAAAACAAGGGCAUAUAUGGCUCAUAUUUGUACAAGCAAAGGCAUAUUUGACACCAAAUUGUUAAACGAGUAUAUUCAUGAUGCAUUUGUAUAGUUCAAUGACAUAUUCGAAUUUCGAACUACUACUAAAAUCAAGUGUGAAAAAGAAAAAAAAAGGAUAGUAUUAGUAAAGCAAUCAUACUAAAUAUUGAAUUUGCUAUAUACUCGAUAAAUAAAGAAGAAUCAAUUUCAUUUUGGUUCAUAAAAAAUUAUAAUAUGGAUAAUAGUUAGAUCAUGUGAACCUAACAGAAAACAUAAUCAAGAAAUAUUAAUUCUUGAUUUUAACAACACAUAAGAAAAAGCUCCACAAUGACGGAUAGCGUACAAGUACCGCGAGGGAAAAGGUAAAAAGAACCCUCUUUUUCUCCUCGUACAGUCUUGGCUCUAAUAAAGAGAAAUAAUCUCUUCCUACCCUACGAUAGGAAAAAAAAUACUUCCUCAAGAAGAUCAAAUAAAAGAAAAAUACACAUAAAACGGAUACAAUAGAGACAGGGAAUUACAAGGUGGAGAAUCGAACAAUCACCAACAAAGUGAAAAUCCAAGUAACCAGCCAACCAACAACUGAGCUACUAAGAUUCUCCGACACACCAUUUUUCCAUGAUUAGUUUAAAUAUCAUGGACACUUUGGUCCUCCUAUUUGUGUCUUCCAAUUGUUGUAGCAAGAACAACAUCCUUUAUUUUGCCCAACAUAACCUGGUGGAACACAUUGGCACCAUCCACAACAAUGGUUGCAAUAAAACAAACAUCUUUUUUUGUGACCUUUGUGUGAGCAUCUCUUAAUACAUGCUUGUCCACAUUCUGAAGAAAACAAAAGGUUAAAAUUAAAAAUAGUCGGUGAAUACAUAUUACAUGUAUAAUCAGUAUAUAAUCUAUGUAUAAUGUGUGUAUAUAAUCUAUAUAUAUAUUUGGAUCAAUGUUCCAUUCUUUAUGAGAAAAGGUACCUCUCUUCUUUCAAAAAAAAUAAUUUACAUUUAAUUAACAUGUAGUUGUUGUAAAGUAUAAUGGAAGUCAAGUGUAAACUAUAUUUCAAAGCAAAUAACAUGCAAUCCAUGUGUAUUAAGAGUGAAAAUUGAACUUAAAGGUGAAGCAAGGUAAAGAACGACGGAUCUCUUUAUGAUACGAGAGAUCUAUUUUGCAUCUUCGUUAUUACGAGUAGUUUUACAAAGGAUCAGACUAAUCACAUAAACAAUACUUGAAUUCUCAAUAGAGAUGUUACAUUGUUAAUUCUUAUUUCUCAUCCUUUAGAGACUACGAGUGUUAUAAGAUUAUCAUCUAUCCACAAAAAGAUAACCUUAAGAUGAUCAUCUUAGAUGAGUGAAGAUUGUUCAACUAAAAGGUGAAGCAAGAUUAGGAACGGCGAAUCUCAAUAUAAUACACGAGAUCCAUUUUGCAAGUUCUUUAUAACAACAAAUUCUACAAAGGAUCAGACUAAUGACGUAAACAACACAAGAAUUUGAAUCCUCAAUGUAAAUACUAGAUAGUUGAUUCUCAAUAUCCUUAAAAGAGUACGAUUGUACUAAGAUGAUCAUCUUGUGGCUAUUAAAAAUGACCUAAAUCAAAUUAUUAUAUUUCUCAAUCUAACACAAAACUUUCAUGAUAGAUGAGUAUAGAUUGCCCAACUAAUAUAUAACACAUCGAACCAAGUGAUAUCACUGACCUUUUCGAGAUUCAAAUAAUUCUUUCUUUAAUUGUAAUUUAUAAUAUGUAUUUAAAAUAUUUUAAAUUGUCACUUACUAUAUGUAUUUUUAAAGUAAUUUUUAAAUAUGUGAAUUUUAUUUUAAAAAACUGAAAUGAUAUGUCUGAAUUUACCGACUAAUAGUUUUGACUAUAAAAAUUCCGUACCAUAUAAAUCGAGACAAAAAGAGUAGAUCCAUCGAUAAUGCUUGAAAAUAAUGCAUACAAACAUCAAUUUGGGGAUAGUAAGUAAAUCAAUUUAACCAUUAGAACCUUGUAAUUCCAGAUCGAUACUGUUCAUAAAACCCCCAAUUUCAAACCAUUAUAAAUAAUAAUAACAUAGUCGGUACUACAACAACAUAUUCAGUGUAGUCUCAUAAAAUGUGCUCAGAAAUAAUAGAGCGUACACAGAUCAUAUCUCUAACUUGAAGUAGAUAAGUUAUUUCUGAUAAACCCUCCGUUAAAAAAAAAAAAAGGUAGCAAUGUAGGAAAGAAGAAUAUAAACCACAAAUAAUACGAUAAUCGAAGCAAUAAAAAAGAAAGAUAUAAGAAGAGGUACUUACUACUUCUAGGCACAGGACAAGUUGUUGAACCAAUGAGAGGUUUAGCACUUAUCACAGAAACAGUGAUAAGCAAAACCAAAAAAAUGAGAAUAAUUUUCAUAUUGUAAGCAAAUUUGUGAAGAUGAAGAAGAAAAUAUCUAAAAUUAUCAAAACUCAAAUGGACUUUUAAAGAUACAAAAAGAGUCUGUUUUUGUAUUGAACUUUUCACAUUCUGUCUAGAUCUCAGGGGAAUCAUUUAAUGCUUAAUUUAAUCACCGUCGUUGGAUUAGAUUGAUGGACGGAUAAGAUUAAUUUAACAUGGGACUUUUCGUAUUAUGUCUGGACCUCACAUGGGCUUUUUCUCUAUCCGUCUUAUUUAAUGUGGUACUCAUUCGUCCAAUUUUUGACUUGACACACUUAUUAAAAAUAAAAAAUUAACGUGAUAAGUUUAUUAUUUUAGACUUAUUAAUGAAGUUAGUAUUUUUAUCAAAAACAUUAACUCUCUAAAUAAAUUUAAGGUAUAAUAUGUAAAAAAAUAUUAUCUUAUCUUGAUUUGUUAAAAACAAUAAGUAAAAAGAAAUUAAUAAAAAGUCAAAAUUGGAUAAGUAAAAAAGAAUAGAGGGAGUAGUUUAAUUAGUUACAGAGUUUAAGAAAAAGAAAGACUUUUGAAAUUUAUGGUCUAAAAUAAGCAAUAGAUGUUUUUGUGGAUAUAAAUCAUUUCAUUAAAAGUAAAAUUGAUAAGUUAAAAAUAAAUUGCUAAUUGAUAUAGAAAUAUAUCAUUCUUUUUUAUAAUUACUAAAAAAGAAUAAGUCAUAUAAAUUGAGACAAUGAAAGUAUCAUUUAACUUGACAUGAUAUUUAAAAGCUUUUUAGAAAAGAAAAUUACAAUCUAAAAUAAUUUUUAGAUAUUUAUAUACCUGUAAAUUACUCCAUUUAAUUUAUUUUUUUAAAUUAUAUUAUUUCUAAUUAUAAUAUCAUAACAUUCUUCUUGAGAAAAGGUGUCACGCGCAAUAGGAUGGAGGAAGUAUUUCUUUGUCCCUUAUUUUUAGUAUAUAAUCAUUUGCUAAGGUGUAUAAAAGCAAUACUAAAUAUAAUUUCAUCUCUAUUUUAAAAUGUUAAAGAGUCUUUCAAAAACAGAUUCUCUACCUUUAUAAGGUAAAAAUAAGAUAAUAAGGCAUACAUAUUGUUUAUCCUCGAUGAAGUUUUACGAAAAUUUCAUUCUCUCUUCAUUUAUUUUUAGUUGUUAUGUUGCAUUUUUCGAGAGUUAAUUUGAUUAAUUUUUUUAAAUUAAAUUAUAGUACUUUGAUGUUUUAAAAUAAAAAAUUUAAUAUUUAAAAAAUAUUAUAAUUAAAAAAAAACAUAAUAAAAUAAUUAAAAAAUAUUAAAAUAUUACACAAAAUUCAUAUAGUUUGACUUAUAAUUUAUUUUUUACAACAAUUAAAAAGAAAUGGAGGAAGUACGGUACUUGUUGUUGACUACAUCUCCACAUGGGAGUCAUUCAAUGCUCAAUCAAUCAUAGCCGUAGGAUAAAUUUGAUGGACGGUUAGGAUUUAAUAUGAAAUUAAAUAAAGAAAUGUAUAAGUAAUGAAUAAUGAUUGCUACUUUGGACCUUUUUUCAUAUUUUGUUAAGAUCUAACAUGUAUAAAGCUGUUAACUUGCUUAAAGAUUUGUUAAAUUAAUCUUGUUAAUAAUAUUUUAAAAUUUUUAAAUUUGAUAAUUACUAUUUUACGUAGUUAUUUAAUAAUAAGGCUAAUAUGAUAAAAAAAAAAUGACUCCCUCCAAUUUAUUUAUUUAAUUUAUUUUAAUUUGAUAUAAAAUUUAAAAAAUAUUUUUUAAAAAAAUGUUAUGAUCUUAAAUUAAAAAUAUAUCAGAUAGAUUAAAAAUUUAUCUAAUCUUGUAAUUUUAAAUUUGUCAGUGGAAAAGCUGGAAUAAGAAAAUUGCUAAAAGGAAAAUAGAGUGAAAAAGUUGUCAUAUUAAAAUGAAAAAGUAGAUCAAACAAUUUAAAAAUAAAAAAGUAAUAAAUUCUUUUAGAUUGUUAGUAUAAAUAAAUAUAAUAAAACAUCUAUUCUUAAUAUAUAGAAUGGAUAAAAUAAAACGAUAGUCUAUGUAAUGAUUGAUAAUUAGACUUUCAUAUCGUGUCUAGAUCUUAGUGGAGUGUUUUAAUGCUUAAUUUAAUCACAACCGUACGAUUAAAUUGAUGGACGGUUAGGAUUAGAGUUUAAAAAUAUAUAAAUGUAUUUUCUACGUUAUAUAUUGGCUGACAUUUACACUAAAAAUAGUUAUCUACGUCUUAUAUUGAUUGACAACUUAGAAAAUACAUUUAUAACCCAUUGUUGCUGCAGCUUCUACCUUUCGAGUGAUCAUUGGAUAAGUUUUUAUUGUGUGAAAUGUAAAUCGUAUUAAGUAAGUCCUAUAUAACGGACUCGACUCGGAAGACAAGACACUGAGGGAGGAUCGAUCUCUGAGUCAUCCCGAAAGACACUAAAAUUUAUUUUCAUUUACUUUCCAAUUUAUAAAAUUAAGAGAAUUUUAUUGUAUUGUACUUUUUAAUUUUUAAUUAUAUAUAAUUAUAAUUUCAAAUAUCACUCCUAUUAAUAAAAUUAAUUUAGUAAAAUACACCCUCUCAUCAAAAAUUUAUAAGAAAUAUGUCAGGUUAACAUUAAUUAAGUAAUAUAAAAUAGACAAUAGGCAACUAACCAUCGAUCAAUUAUCAAAUUUCUAAUUACACACUUAUAUUUUACAGGUCAAUUAUUUUUAUAUUACUUUAAAAUAGAACCAAAUACACCAAAAAUAAAAACAUAUGUAAUGAUUUGAUGCUUGGACUUUUCAUAUCGUGUCUACACUUCACAUGGGAGUCUUUUAAUGCUAAAUUUAAUCUCAGCCGUAGGAUUUAAAUUGAUCAACGGUUACGAUUAAUUUAUAAUAAAAAAGAAAUGUAUAUAUUAUUUGAUUAUGUGAAUGUUGUGAACCGUUGGAUGAAGUAAAUGAAUGGCUAGGAUGGAGUGUGUUUCUUUUGUGAGUAAGAAGGUGUGUUUGUUUGACAUGGAUUGAUGACGUGACGUGAAUUGAUUGGUGGUGAGGGAAUGACAAAUAAUUGAUGAGUUUUGGAUUUUUGAGCUUAGGGUAUGGGCAUUUUGGUCCAAAAAAAAAGAGAUUAAUUUGCACUUUAUGUACUUUUUUUUCAUGAUAACGGAAACUUGCCAUAAAAUCCUGCAAAUCACAUACGAGAGGUAACCUACAUCAUGUAAGCCUGAUGCGACGAGCUCGAUCCAGAAGAUAAAUCCCUUACUUUCGCUGGCAAUAAAUUUCGAACUUAAGACUUCCAACAUAAAAGUCCCAAGCCCAAACUAGUAGCGACUCCGAAGGGUUUUUGCACUUUAUGUACCUUCAAAGUACAUAUCAAUAUAUUAAUAGAGUAUCAUUACAUGUUGAUUUAUUUCUUUAAUAAAAAAAAUUAAACGAAUAUCAAUGAUACGCACAUGAUAAAAUAUCAUAUAACCGUAAGUAUAUUAUAAAAAAUUAAUCAUUCAUGUGUUCCAAGAGAGACAGUUAAUCCUUUAUGAUAAAGUAUCAUAGUUAUCACGUUUAAAAUAUCAAGCUUUGGCCAGUAAGUCUAAGUAGUUAUUAUAACUUUAUAAGGUACACAGCUGAAACAGAUAUAUUGACGUCUAAUUAUGUGCUUAUUCUUUUUUUUCUUAAUAUUCGCUCUGUUCUUAAUUACUUGAUUAUUUCUUUUCAUUUUUAGUUGUUUCUAAUUACUCGUUCAUUUUCACAAAUUAAGAAAGAAUUAAUUUUUUUUAUCUAUUAUAAUCUCAAUUAAUUACUUUGACAAAGGUAAAAUUUCUGAAAAAUAUUAAAUUUUUAAUUCAUCUAUUUCAUAAUUAAUAAGGCUAAGAUGGUAAACUUACUAUGUUAAUAAGUAUUUUCUUAAUAGGUAUGUUAAUUUAAAAUUGGACAAAUAAUUAGAAGAAGGAGUAGUAAAAAAAGUACUAUUUAUUCCUCUAUUAGAUAUCAUAAGAACUAAUUCAUGUUUUUAAAACACAGUUCUCUAUGAUGUUCAUAUGAUAAAUAUUACUCUAUAAUAGGGUUAGUAAAAAAAAUACUCCUUGAUCCUUUAUGAGGAUUUAUUCAUUUUUUCGAAAAAAAAUACAAUUUUACUUUUUAAGAAAAAUAUAAUUUUUAUUUUCAUUAGUUGAUAUAUUUAUUUUGUAUUUUUUAUCCAUUAAAAUAAAAAGAAAAUACAAAAUAGAACUAAGAAAAAAUGGAAGAAAAUAAACAUACCAAAAAUAAAUAGAAGUUUAAGAGAAAAAAAAAAACAACAAAGUCAACUAAAGAAAAUAAAUUAAAUGCCGCAAUUCAAGGCCAAUUUAAUGCGUCGAAAGCUAAGAUGGGCAAAACAGACGCCGCAAUUUGUGUGAAUUUUUAUUUUUUCGACUUUUUUCCAUUCACGACUAUAGUUUGUUUUUUUAAAAAAAAAUAAAAAAAUUCAGGGCUGGAACACGAAAUCUCUAACUAAGAGAAGAGUAACUUCAUUCACUGUACUAUAUCAUUUGGUGGUGUAUGAUUUUUUUAAAUUUAUAUUCAUAGUAAUAAACUAUUUUUUUAUGGACAUAUAUUUUAAUAUUAUAAUAUUUAUAUAUUAUGUCUGAAUAUAAUUUCAGUUUCUAAAAUCUUAUGCCCAAUUAGGCAUAAAUAUGAUUCCUCAAGACUAAAAAUUAAAAAUCAAUCUAUUUAAAAAGUAAUAAUAAAAAAUCAACCUAUUUACGAAUAAAACGUGUAAUUUUGUGGGGAAAUAAAUAUUUGAAAUUGGGCCAACUACUAUACUUUUGGGUUGGCUUAAUCCAAUUUUUCAUGUUCUUUUCACUUUAAUUUGAUUUAAAUGAGUUUCUUUUGUCUUAAACAAUUCUUCAAAAUAUGCUAUGUAUAUAAUAAAAAUUAUGGUAUAAUGUACUUAUAUAUAGCUCAAAAUUGAAGAAAUGAAAAUGUAAUUGAUAAAAUAGAGUAAUAGCAUUCUAAAAUGAUUAAAAUGGUGAUAUGACAAACAAAGAAAAUGCAGGUGGUUAAUAUUGAUACUACAAAUUUAUUGAAACUAGUGAAAUUAUUCGCUUUUUAUGUGACUUUAAGAAAAAAUCAAUAAAUUUAUAUAUGUUUACUGUUUAUAUAUACAAAAUUUGUGAAAAUUUUAUAAAUGACAUAUAUAAGACUAAUAAUUUCAAAUUAUGACAAUAUAAUAAUACUUUCAAGUUGUAACAAUAAAAUUUUUUAGGUUAUAACAGUUUAUUUAAAAAAAAAGUUUUAAAAUAAUAAUAAAAACCGAUUUUUAAAAAUUAAUAAAAAGUAAAAAACGGAAAUAGUUGUAGUAAUUGAUUUGAAUACAUUAAUGAUAAUUAAUAAUUGCCAUAAAUUUAGGAGAUUCAAAACAAAAUAGAAAUAUUUAUUUUCCUUUUUUUACUCUAAUCAAUUAAAAGUAUUUCAAAAACCAAAUUUUCUUUUUUGUUCAAACUUUUCUUUCUCUUCAAAAUUUUUUCUGUAAUUGGCGUCAUUCACUUAUAGUUCCAAAUAGUUUUGGUUCAAUAAUCUUCAUUUUGUUAUAAUGGACGACUUCUUAUCGAUAUUAAUAAAACAUGGUGGUAGAUGGGAUCCUUCUGGUUAGUAUUCAUUGCUAUUUAUUAUUUGUGUUUUUAUACUAAUGAAACAUAAAAAAAAUAAAAAAUUUAAGAACAAUGAAACUGAAAAUGAAAUUUUCUGAUUUUGCUUGUGAAACUUGAAUAAAUGAUGGUAUGAAUUUUUCGUAUAGUGUUUUUUGUAAGUUGUAUACUAUUUUUUGUAAUUAGUAUAUAUUGCGAUUUAUUUUUUGUAUUUUAUAUUAAUGAAACUGUAAAAAUAAUAAUUAAGAAUAAUGAAAAUGAAAUUUUUUAAUUUUGCUUGUGUAUAAUAGAUUUAAAUUAUGUGUUUUUUUGUAUGAACAUUAAUUUUUUCAGAUUACAUAUUCAUUUUUUGAAACUGAAAAAAAUUAUAGCAAGAUUUUUUUAAAAUUUAAGUUAUCUGAUUAAAAAAGAAAAUACAUUAAAUAAAGUAAAAAAUUAAUUAAUCUUUAAAUAAAAUGUGAUCUGUUAUAACCCGUAAUUAAACUGUUCUAAGUAAGAAUAUUUUAAAAGUAGCUUUAAAACCCGUAAUAUUGUCUCUUAAAUAUAUAUGGGGUGAUUUUUCCUAUUCGAUUCACUAUAUACUCAAUAAAAAAUAUUGUUUCUUUUUGGUUCAUGAAAAUUUGUAAUGUGGAUAAUAGAUUGAUAAUGUGAUCAAGCAUAAAACAUAAUCAAGAUAUAUUAAUUUGACUUUAACAACACAUAGGAAAUCCUUCUCAAGAAGAUCAAAUAAAGUAAAUUAAACAUAAAACUCAUUAAUUAAUACAAUAAAAACCAUAUUUUUUAAUCCAUGAUUAAUUAAUUAAUAUUAAUUUCAUGGACACUUUGGUUCUCCUGUCUGUUUCUUCCAAUCUCUAUAGCAAGGACAACAAUCUUUAUGUUCCCCAACAUAUCCUGGUGGAACACAUUGACACCAUCCACAACAAUGGUUGCAAUAAAACAAACAUCUUUUUUUGUGACCUUUUUGUGAGCAUCUCACAUUGCAUGCCUCUUCACAUUCUAAACACACAACAAGUAAAAAAAAAAAACAAAAAAAAAAGGUUAAAUAAUCGACAAAUGCAUAAUAUGUGUAUAAUCUGUAUAUAAUCAAUGUAUAUCGGUUGAAAAAAUUAUAAGCGAUAUCCCAAUUGACUAUUUGUGUAAAGAUUAAUUGCUUUCUCUUAGAAAAAAGGGACAGAUUUAUUUACCUCUCUACUUUCAAGAUAUUUUAUGUUUAAUAUAUGCUAUACUUUUCGAACAAAAACACUUGUGUAGUAAAUAAAGUUAUUAGAAAUGCUCAUUCAUACUUCUCAAGAAGUAAAAAAAAGUUAAAUAAUCGGGAAAUGUAUAAUAUAUGUAUAAUGUGUGUAUAAUCAAUGUAUAUCGAUGGAAAAAUGAUAAGUGAUAUUUUGACCGAUUAUUUGAGUAAAGAUUAAUUGUUUUCUUUUAGGAAAAAGGGACAGAGUUACAUCUCUACUUUCGAAAUAGUUUACAUUUAAUAUCUGUUAUACUUUUCGAACAUAAACACCCUUCAAUAAAUAAAGUAGUUAAAAAUGCUCCAAAUGCAUUUGUAAAGCUUUGUUGAUGAUAGAUGUAUUUUUGUUCGCAAAAAGUACAAUAAAAGUCAAAUAUAAACUAUUUCUGAAAGCAAAUGAUAGAUAUGAUCGUUUUUCCUUUCUUUUAUUCCAAUAUAGAUUUGUGAUUCGAUAAUCGUGUUAGAAGUAAUAAACUAUUUUUUCGAACAAACUCAACGUUCUCGUUUUGAACCAAUGAGAAGAUGGAUUUGCAAAAACAACACAAAAAUGAUAAAAAGAGGUACUUACUAUCUUUAGGCACAGGACAAGUUGUUGGACCAACAGGAGGUUGAGCUCUUGACAUUGAAGCCAUAAUGAGCAAAGCCAAAAAGAUGUGAAGAAGCCUCAUCUCUAUUUUUUCUUCAAAAACUAAUGUUAGUUUUCAAUUUUAAUUUUAUUUUGUGAGAAAAUGAUUGCUAUGAAUCCACUAAUUGUGUGCAUCUAUAUAUAUAGACAAUAUUAAUUAUAAUCAUAAUAUUGUAGAUUUUGUUGCUAAUGUAGCAUUUACUCAAGACUUAUCUACUAUGGUUGCAUUUAUUAAUGAGUUAAUUAAUUACAGUAAAGACUCUUAUAACUAAAUUACAAAUAAACUCUGUAUUUUUUAAAAAUUAAGCAUUUACAUCCUUUUUAAAAAAAAAUGAAAGUCAUACACUUACACCUUCUUCUUUUCCCCCCCCUAUAUAUAUAUUUCUAAAAACAUUUAAACCUUUUAUAUAAGGAGAAUCCUACAGAAAUGAAACAUCAUCUACUUAAUUAUAUAUAAGAUAAUUUUGAAGCGAAAAAAUAAUAAUUUAAACAUAUAAAUUUACAUUAUGGUAAAUAUUCUAAUUGAAUUUAAAAAAAAGUUACUUACAUGUAUCAAAGUGCAAGGAAAUUUACUAUAUAUAGAAUAUUGAAUGAGGAGCUUAGGGUGGUCAAUCUUGAUCAAUUUGCUUUUGUGCUUCACUUUUCUCUAUUUAUACUGACUCUUCGAAUUUAUUCUGUACCACAUAAAUGACAGAUAAAAUCACGAGGCUCUUGCAUCUAGUAUUAGUAGUAAUAGAAACAUCUUGACUCAUGUUGUAAAGCUCCAUUGUGACAUCAAACAAAUAACAACAAACAAAUUGUAGGAUACAUACCAAGGUAUUACACCAAUUGAACCUCCCAAUAGACUAUAGAGUGUUGAUAAGACAAUUAAUUGAGAUUAUUUCUACUUAGUACUUAGUAGGAUGGAGUGUAUUUCUUUUGUUAGUACAAACUACAAAGGUGAGGUUGUGUUUGUUUGAUAAGGAUUGUUGACGUGUCGUGAUUUCAUUGGUGGAAAUGGAAGGACAAGGACUGAUGAGUGGUAUGGGUAUGGUUUUUAAAAUUUUGGGCCUUGUUAUGAGGCAUUUUGGGUAAGAUUUGGUGUGGAAAAAUUGAAAAUUUAAUAUUGGCCCAAUUACUAGACUUUUGGGGUUUUUGAAUUGCCUUAGAGAAAUUAUUUAUCUAUACAAAAUAAGACUAAAAUAGUACCAAAUGUAGUAGGAGAUUUUUGUUCAUCAAAAAUAUCAAGUGCAUCCUCUUUUAAAAAAAUAAAAUAAUAAUAUACGAAAUCAUACUUCGAAUCUCGCUUAAGUAUUAAAAUUUUGCUCAUAAUCUCAUGUAUGAAAAUCGUAUGAUAUCAAUCUAAAAUAUGUAUAUAACUGUAUAAAUUUUAUAUAAAGUUCAUGUUAGGUUUAUGAAGGAGAAAAACACAAGUUUUUACUUUCGCUCAAGGCUUAGAAUUUCAUUCACAAUUUCAUGUAUAAAAAUUAUAUAAAAUAUGUAUAUAAUUGUAUCAAUUUCAUGUUGGUUUCUAAAAUUUUAAUAAAACAACAAUAUUAUAUACAAAUUUAAUAUAGCUAACUUAAACUACAAUUUUCAUACAAAUUAAAUAUAGCUAAUAUAACAUACAAACUUCAAAUACAAUUUUCAUACAUUUAUAAUACGACUUUAAUACAUACCUUUGCUUUCUCAUUCUUAUAUGUCAAGAAUGAUCCAAUGGAAUCUUCUAAAUCAGAUAUGUAAAAUCUCAAAGGAUUAGAAGAGACUUUUGAUAUAAUUCGACUGUAAUUUGAACUUUGAUAUUAUUCAAAUGGCCUCAACUUUUACAUUUAGGGCCCGUUUGGCCAUGCGAUAUGGUAUCAUGAUAUGAAAUCAUAAGACAAAAUUGAAGGUUUGUUUGGACAUGCGAUAUGGAAUUUUUGUGUUGUAUAUUUUCUCAUAAACAUUAAAAUCCCAUAAGUUGUAAAACUAUUAAAAAUAGCCCCAAUUGUUUAUUCAAUCUUAUCAAAUAAACAAAAAAAUUAUAAAAUCGCAUAAUAAAUUAUUACAAAGUUAUUUGUUAUCCACUCAAGUAAUUGUUUCAUCUAACUUUAAUUUAAUAUAAAAAAUCGAACAUAAAUUGUAGUGCACUAGUCUUUAAUAUAAUCCUCCACAUAGUACGGACAAUUUCCUCACAUUGAACUUGCAUUUCUUGAUCAUGUGACCGAGAAGACGAACCAACAUUGUUACUUUGAGCCAGUUGUUGGUCAAUAUCCUCCACAACUAUAAUUCAUGUUCAUAGACCAUAAAUAUUUCAUCACUACUUUGGUAUUCUCGCAAAUAAUUAUGUAACACUGCACAAGUUAUGACAAUUUCACUUGUGUAUCAAUAUCAUAAUGGUUCAUGCCUUGUUUCAGUACUCUGAAUCUAUUUUUCCAAGCUCUAAAAGUCCGUUCAAUCACAUUGCGCAGAGAUGAAUGCCUAUAAUUUAAAUAGUUCUUUGGCAUUUUUGAGGCUCUCUUUCACUUCCUCGGUAAUCUUGCAAAUGAUAGCAUAGUCCUUUGUAUGGAGCUAAAAAAUCCUUUUGUGUUUCGGAAACCAGCAUCAAACAACAUAAUAUUUAUCUACCAAAAAACAUUUUAUAAAGAAUUACUAAAAGCAUAUGUGACGUAAAUGAGACAGCUUUGUGUAAAUAAAUAGUAUUUCUUCUAAGGAUGUAAUUUAAAGUUACCAUGUGGCGGAAAUGGAAAUUGUGACGUUGGUUCAACAAGUGCAUUCUCAAGUACUUUACUAUCAUGUGCAGUACCUUCCCAACCAGCAGUAACAAAGGUAAAUCGCAUAUCAAAAUCACAAGCACAUAAGACACUUUGUGAUGUUCUUCCUUUGUGAUUACGAUAUGCUUGUUUGCACCGCUUUAGGAACCUCCCCUUCUAUAUAUGUUCCAUCAAUCGCACUAACACAAUCCUACCAAGUAAAAAAUACAUCAAUAUUAGUUUAGUGAACAUAAAAUAAAUUGGAAGCAUUAUAGAAUGCACUUCAUAAAAAAUAAUGUUUGUAAGAGUAAUAAAAAUAGUGCUUCCAAGACAAUGCAAAGUCAUAAAAUAAAUAUUAUCUCUUUAAACAAAGUUGAUAGGAAAUAUGUAACUAAAUAGGGAUAACGUACACAUAAAAUAUAAAUGUGCACUUAUCAAGACCAUAAAAUAAAUUUAUUACUCAACAAUCGAUUGGUGUGAGUUAAAGUGACUAUAUAUUGGUGAGAAUAAUAAAUUUUAUGUCGGUGAGAAUAAUAAAUUUUAAAAAGUAAUGAUGUGAUUAUAAUUUUAUUUACAUAUGAAAUAAAUGGUUAGUAGAUAUAAAUGUGGGUAGUUUUAACAAAAUAUAAACUCAUGGAUCAAUUGUUGUAUUAAAAUAUCUCAAAUCAUGAUACGGAAUUCCUAUAUAAUUUCAUAUCAUUGUUUUUGGAGAAUAUGGAAUCACAUCUCAGGAUAUGGAAUCAUGAGAUGGAAUCAGCGUAAAAUCGCAUGUCCAAACGCUGNNNNNNNNNNNNNNNNNNNNNNNNNNNNNNNNNNNNNNNNNNNNNNNNNNNNNNNNNNNNNNNNNNNNNNNNNNNNNNNNNNNNNNNNNNNNNNNNNNNNNNNNNNNNNNNNNNNNNNNNNNNNNNNNNNNNNNNNNNNNNNNNNNNNNNNNNNNNNNNNNNNNNNNNNNNNNNNNNNNNNNNNNNNNNNNNNNNNNNNNNNNNNNNNNNNNNNNNNNNNNNNNNNNNNNNNNNNNNNNNNNNNNNNNNNNNNNNNNNNNNNNNNNNNNNNNNNNNNNNNNNNNNNNNNNNNNNNNNNNNNNNNNNNNNNNNNNNNNNNNNNNNNNNNNNNNNNNNNNNNNNNNNNNNNNNNNNNNNNNNNNNNNNNNNNNNNNNNNNNNNNNNNNNNNNNNNNNNNNNNNNNNNNNNNNNNNNNNNNNNNNNNNNNNNNNNNNNNNNNNNNNNNNNNNNNNNNNNNNNNNNNNNNNNNNNNNNNNNNNNNNNNNNNNNNNNNNNNNNNNNNNNNNNNNNNNNNNNNNNNNNNNNNNNNNNNNNNNNNNNNNNNNNNNNNNNNNNNNNNNNNNNNNNNNNNNNNNNNNNNNNNNNNNNNNNNNNNNNNNNNNNNNNNNNNNNNNNNNNNNNNNNNNNNNNNNNNNNNNNNNNNNNNNNNNNNNNNNNNNNNNNNNNNNNNNNNNNNNNNNNNNNNNNNNNNNNNNNNNNNNNNNNNNNNNNNNNNNNNNNNNNNNNNNNNNNNNNNNNNNNNNNNNNNNNNNNNNNNNNNNNNNNNNNNNNNNNNNNNNNNNNNNNNNNNNNNNNNNNNNNNNNNNNNNNNNNNNNNNNNNNNNNNNNNNNNNNNNNNNNNNNNNNNNNNNNNNNNNNNNNNNNNNNNNNNNNNNNNNNNNNNNNNNNNNNNNNNNNNNNNNNNNNNNNNNNNNNNNNNNNNNNNNGCGGUGCCGCACUUUCUUAAUCUUAGUAUUCGCAAAAUGUUCGUUCACAUGACUGAAGAAUAUCAAGUCCAAUUGAUUGAGGACUUGGGAAAAUUUGAUCAAUUAGUUAUUAAUAUUUAGUCAAGUGGAGUAGUUAUAAUUUUUUUGAUUAAAUUUUAUUAGAAGUGUUUUUGACUCAAACUUGUGGUAACUUUUUAAAAUUUCGUUAUUCAAUAAUAUUUAACUAUUGAUUUUUCUUGUAAAUAGUUAGAAGUCAGUGAUGUUUGUUAAUUUUUAUCUUAGUGUAUUUAACUUCUAAGUUAAUAUUUACUCACUAAUGUAUUUUUUUCCCCCUACUUUAUAGGUUAUUUGUAAGAGUAGUUGAGAGAUAUGAGCAUAUCAAGUACAAUUUAUGUUUAAUUUUUUUUAUUAAAUUAAAGUUAGAUGAAACAAUUACUUAAGUGGAGAACAAAUAACUUUGUAAUAAUUUAUUAUGCGAUUUUAUAAUUUUUGUUUAUUUGAUAAGAUUGAAUAAACAAUUGGGGCUAUUUUAAUAGUUUUACAACUUAUGGGACUUUUAUGUUUAUGAGAAAAUAUACAACACAAAAAUUCCAUAUCGCAUGUCCAAACAAACCUUCAAUUUCAUCUCAUGAUUCCAUAUCAUGAUACCAUAUCGCAUGGCCAAACGAGCCCUUUAAACUCCCCUUGACAUUCAAGUUCUUUUGAGAUAUCACCACUCAAAAUAAAGUUCAUUUGUGGUAAAUUAAUUUUUCAAACUUGAGCCUCAACACAUAUGCGUUUAGUAACAUAGAGUUAUAGUUUUUUUUUAAAAAUAAAAUAAAAUAACAAAAUACACAUUAAUUUUAGUUAAAAAAUCAUCAGUCAACAGACGAAUAAUUAAAAAAUGCAUGAAAAUUGAGAAAAACUUUGACAAUUCACGUAAAAUUAAAUAAAAAUAUGAUCUUUUUUUAAUUUAAAAAAUAAUUAUUAUCACUAAUAUGAUUGUAAAUAGAUUAAGCUCAUAGGAGUUGUUCAUCGAGAAAUUAGAACCUAGGGCUAUGGAAAUUGUGAAAAGCUUAAUAAUUCGCAAAAAGUUAAAGGAAAAAUAUGAUUUUUAACCGCUUCAUUGAANNNNNNNNNNNNNNNNNNNNNNNNNNNNNNNNNNNNNNNNNNNNNNNNNNNNNNNNNNNNNNNNNNNNNNNNNNNNNNNNNNNNNNNNNNNNNNNNNNNNNNNNNNNNNNNNNNNNNNNNNNNNNNNNNNNNNNNNNNNNNNNNNNNNNNNNNNNNNNNNNNNNNNNNNNNNNNNNNNNNNNNNNNNNNNNNNNNNNNNNNNNNNNNNNNNNNNNNAGUUGGAAGAACAUGCCAUGAUAUUAGAAAAUCUAAUCUAAUGAGGUUGAUAAUUCAGAUGACAAAAUACACAUUAAUUUUAUUUAGAAAAUCAUCAAUCAACGAACGAAUAAGUCAAAAAUGCAUGAAAAUUAAGAAAAACUUGAGAAUUUAAGUAAAAUUAAAUAAAAAUAUGAUUUUUCGUCCGUUUUAUUGAAUAAUAAACAAACAUGAGAGAGGGGACAUAGUGAGUGAGAGAGCUAGAGAGAGUAGCGGGGAAACGAACCUUUUUUGUUUCACUUUCCUUUCUUCCCCUCUCUCUCUUUUCUCUCUCUCCCUCUCUAUGAAAUGUGUGUAUUUUUCCCUUUUGUACAUUUUUUUCUUCUUCUUCAUUGAUUUACAAGAUAUGAGCUUUGUUUGAUUCAACGAGAUAUGCCUUUUCAUGUAUGUUUUCUUGUACCCCUCUUAAUCUUUUUGUAUACAUUUGUCAUGAGAUCUUGUGUUUACAAAUCUCACAUGUUUGAAUUGAGAAAUUUUAUGAUUCUGAUCUUUAGUAUUUUUUUUUAUUUAGGCAGAAUACCUUUCUUUUUUUCAUGAAUUCAAUUUUUUUUUUCUUACUUCAAACUUUGUGUAUGAACUCCCAUGAUUUGAUAGAUCGCAUCUAGAAUUUUUGGUUAGCAAUUCUUGAUUCUUUUCUCUCUCUUUGAUUUUUGCAUUACAAUUUUUUUGUCUGAAUUCUGUAAAAAAAAGAUCCAUCUCGAUAAAAUGGUGAAUUAUUUUUUGUCCCCAGUUUUUUAAAUCUCAUUACGAAUUACGACCUAAUCCUUUCAAAAUUUUGAUAUAUAUAAUGUUCAUCGCACUAGAUCUACCAUUGCCUAAGAAAAUUCACGAUGUUAUUUUUAAAAUUUUCAAUUAGUAUUAGGUUUUUGAAUUCUACGUGAAAUUUCUCAUCUUAUUUGUAUUUUGUAGGAAUUCCCUACAAAAUUGUGGAUGUGUUAUUGUUGGUGGCAAGAGUACUAGUGACAAUUUAGUCAAUUUUUUGAACUCGCAAGAUUUCUCAGAGUCGAAGAGAACAAUAACAACAACAAUAAUAGCAGGAACAUCAAUUUCAAAAUAAUCUUGCAAGUCCUUAAAGAAUCUUCUAGAAACACUUGCAAAUACUUUAGAGAAAAGCUAAAUGGAUUCGAUUACGACAAGUACUUCUGACAUUCCAAUUAAUCAAGGUAAUAAUAGAUCAAUAAAUCGUAGGCUUUCAGCCCGAUUUCCUUCAUCGAAAGAUGCCACGUACCCUGAUGACAUAGGUAAUGAAUUCGGGUCAAGGAAUAGAACGUUGAAUAGAAAUGCAAGUAAAGCUCAAAGAGGAAGCCCUAGUACGAAAUUUGACCCUUCAAUGUCAAUGAGAAGAUCUGAGACGGGUAGUGAAUGUGAAGAGGACGAGUCAGAAGAAGAAGAAAAUGAAGAAGAGAGCGCGGAAGAAGGAGAGGAAACAAAAGAAGGAGAGGAACCGGUUAGAAUGUCAUUGAUGGCAUUAUUAGCGGAGUCAGAAGGUUCAUCAUACAUGAUGGGAGAGGACGAGGACGACGAUGAGGACGAUGGUGGUGGUGAUGUUGGUGGAGAUAACUUAAAUAAUUGUUGUGUUUGUCAAGUUAGACAUAAAGGUGCAGCAUUUGUACCUUGUGGACAUUCAUUUUGCAGGUUAUGUUCAAGGGAACUUUGGGUUGAAGGAGCUAAUUGCCCACUUUGCAACAAUUUCAUAUUGGAAAUUCUUGACAUUUUCUAAUCACUUCAUUCAACAUUGAUCAAAUUUUCAUUUACAUAUGUGUUGUUAUUUAUUUUCAUUUUUUUUGUUUUGCAUUUCUUCUUGUUUGUUAAUUGGAGCAAAAAAUGUAACUAGUAAAAAUUGAAGUUAAUGAAUACAUAGUAUUGGUGCACCUACUAAUUUUUUAUAGCAUGAGCAUAAAAUGGGGUUUGACAUAAAAUGGGAUUCGUGUUGUAUAUAUUCUUAUCCUAGCUAUUUGUAUUACGAUUUGUGGAAAAAUUAUAAUGAAUUAUCAUGUUUAUAUAUUGACAAGCAAAAUAUAUAAACGAAGUUUUGAAAAAUUUCUAAAUGUAUAAAUACAAAAAAAUUGUAUAUACUUACCCGUUAGUAUAUUCGCUUGCGAAUAUACAAACCGCAGCCUCCAUAGCAUACAAAAUUAUAGCUAUGAAAUGCAUUUAUCGAAACUAUAGUUGUAGAACCUUAUUAUAUCUAUUAUCUUUGCUAUUUCUGAAAUUGUUAGCAUAAUGUAAGUAAAAUUUGGUUAUUAUAAUAAACACAAUCAAUUUGUUUAAGAAUAUUUAGCAUUUAGAAAAAAAGAUAGUUAUAUAUUACUNNNNNNNNNNNNNNNNNNNNNNNNNNNNNNNNNNNNNNNNNNNNNNNNNNNNNNNNNNNNNNNNNNNNNNNNNNNNNNNNNNNNNNNNNNNNNNNNNNNNNNNNNNNNNNNNNNNNNNNNNNNNNNNNNNNNNNNNNNNNNNNNNNNNNNNNNNNNNNNNNNNNNNNNNNNNNNNNNNNNNNNNNNNNNNNNNNNNNNNNNNNNNNNNNNNNNNNNNNNNNNNNNNNNNNNNNNNNNNNNNNNNNNNNNNNNNNNNNNNNNNNNNNNNNNNNNNNNNNNNNNNNNNNNNNNNNNNNNNNNNNNNNNNNNNNNNNNNNNNNNNNNNNNNNNNNNNNNNNNNNNNNNNNNNNNNNNNNNNNNNNNNNNNNNNNAAAAAAAAAAAAUUAAUAUAUUCUCCCCCCCCCCCCCCCUCCUAAAUCUACCCUUAAAGUAUCUAGCAAGUAAGACAUAUAAGGAGAGAUAAAUAGUAUUUUAAAGCAAAUACAUAUAAUGCUAUUAAAUGUCUUUCUUAGAAGUUGUGCAAACACUAUAAAAUGAAAUAUAUAUUAUAUUUUUUUAAAACAUAAAUGAUUAAAUUUGAGGCUAUUUAGAUUAAUUAUUGAUACUACAAUUCAAGAAAAAGUUAAUAUCCAUUUCAUGUUCAUUUUCUCUUCAAGUUAUUUCUAAAAUGAGCAAAUUAUGAUGUGUAAAAUUGUGGGUGAUUAAUGAAGUGAUAAAGAUUGUUGACCAACUCAUACUUCUCUUGCCUUCAUUCUUAGGAGGCUUAAAACAUGGUCAUAUCUUUGCAUGAGUUUAAGUUUUAUAUACUGAAGAAUCAUGACAAUAAAAUAUGAAUAGGAUAAAAAAAGUAUUAUUAUAUUUGAUAAAAAAAUUAAGAAAAAAAGAAGUAAUUAUACAAUGAUGAAUUUUGAUUAGAGCACUAAUUCUUGGAAAUCUCUAUACAUAACUUUUAUUGAGAUUGUAUAUGUAUAUAUAUUAGAAAAUUCAUAGUCUAUAAAUAACUAAUUGUUAAUUUAAAAUUAUUAUUAUAUUAAUUUAAAGUUCUUGUAGGAAUUUAUAUAUAAACUAUAAAAAUAAAUUUGCCUAUAGCAUAUUUUAGUUACAAUCAAUUCAACAUUGAUCAACUUUUUUUUUAAUGACAAACGUUAAUAUGUACUAUAAUAAAAACGAUAACUAACUUAUAAUUACUACAAUACGUUAUACUAUAAUAUUUACAUUCAUUAUUUAAAAUUUAUUUAUUUAUUGAUUUUGUGUAUCAAUCAAUUUAGUUGGUUCAAUUUUCUUUAUUCAUAAUGUGUUUGAAAUUUAUUUCCAAUAUUGAUGUAAAUAAUAUGCCCAAUUAGGAUUUAUAUAUGACUUAAAGGAAAGGGUUUCGACCACACAACACAAAACCAUAUUUUCCUUCUUUACCAUUUUUUUCUUCUUUAUUUUGGGUGAAGUAUUCGGGUGUGUUUGGUACGAAGAAAAUGUUUUUUCUGAAUUAACAAAGAGCGCUAAAACCUUAUCAGCAUUAGUUAAUUGUCCUUGGAUCCAAUGUCGCUAUAGACUUUAUGAACAUAUACAAAGAGUGCUAAUUGCCUCUAAAAAUACAUAUUUAACGAUGAUUAAGCUAUUGCCGUUAAUUAAUUGCUACUAAAGAUCAUUUUCCUGUUUACAUUGAGGAAAUUAUUGCCCUGAUUUUAAAGAAAUUGUUUUUCUUGAAAAAAUAAUAACCAAUUGAUCGAAUAUAGAAAAAUUCUCCAUUACCAAACACACCCUUUCCUAGCUCCCCCCACCCACCAAAAAAAACCCAAUAUAUAUAUCCCUCUAGUACAAGCUUUUCAAACAUCUUCAAUAAACCCAGCCAGAAUUCUCCUUUAACAACUAUGAAUAUUUUACAUCAACCAUAUAUAAUUUUAUUUUAUUUUCUAUUUUAAUUGUUGCAAAAUAUGUAUUUUUAUAUAAAACUUGUAUGUUUAUUUGGUCUUUUCCUACUUGGAGCUUUAGCCAAAGAUAUACCCUAUGAUGUCAAUUAUAAUAUUAUAUUUGGGAAUCAACAUGUUGUAUCCUUCAACCAAGGAAGAGAACUUCAGAUUUCAAUGGACCAAUCUUCUGGUAUUUUUUUUGUUAUUAUGUGUUGCUCCAUAUGUUUCGAUUUAUUUGUCAUAGUUUGGAUAUGUGAGUUUAAGAAUGAAAAAAAAAAACUUUUGAAAUUUAUAUAUCAAAAUAUGCAAGGGCGGAGUUUGAAGUCCGAAUACAACAAUUUUGUAGCUUUUACUCAAAUAUUAUAUUUGUAUUAGCAAAUACAUUAAAUAUGUAUACAAAAUAAAUUUAAAAAGUUAGUUUUAAAAUUCAGAACAUACAAAAUUGAAAUUCUGACUCCACUUCUUUAAAUGUGUUAGAAUAUUUAUGUGAUUAUUAUAAUAAUUUUUUAAACUUAUAGCUUGAAACAUGUCAUAACAUGUAUUUGUCUAUAAGCAUAUCAUUAAGAAAAUAUUGAAAUGUGUCAUUAUUAUUAUCGAAACACAUUAAGAAGGAAAUAGUGUCAAAUAUUAAAGUGAAACGAAGGAAGUAUUUAUUUUGUUGUUUUUGGCACUAGUAGCAACAAUAUUUAUUUCACUACAAAUUUUUUUUAUAGAAAUUAGCUACAAAAUUAGUUACUAAAAUACCUCUUGAUAACAUAAUUUUUCGAUAAUUUUUUGCUAAUUCAUCGUUAAAUUGAUUUAGUGAUAGAAUCCUUUUUGACGCUAAAUCCUUUUGUUUUGGUAGUGUUUGUCUAACUAAAUGGGAUUUUCUUACAUCUUGCAUCAACCAAAUGUUUACAAGUUUAAGCAGUUAAAAAGAACACGUUUCAAAUAGUAUAUAGGAGAUUUUUUUUUAUAACUUGAUUAAUUUAGUAAAUUAUAUAUAGUAUUAAUUAAUUUGUUGAAUUAUUUAUAGGAUCUGGCAUUGGAUCUAAGGAGAAUUAUGGUUCAGUUCACAUGAAAAUAAAACUACCAAACAGAGACUCAGCAGGAGUUGUUAUUGCUUUUUAUGUAAGUAAAAUAAUAUUAUCUUCAAUUAAUUUUGUGUAAAUAUUUUUGAAACAAUAUUUUUAUUUAAUUGUCAAACACAGAAUAAGUAAGAUAACUAUUUAUUUUUCAUUAAUUUUUUUAAUUCCUAUCAAACAUACCCUAAAAGCAACCGACAAAUAACCGUCCAUAAAUAAGUGUACAUAGCACAUACUAUGACAUAUUAAAAUACGCUGAUAGUGUAACAUAAUUUACGUUAUCAAUGUAUAUAAAGUUAAAUUCAAGUUAUAAAUUAAAUAUUUACGAAUUAAUUGCAUAUGUUUUUUGCAGCUACAUUCAAAUACAAACAAUAAUGAUGAAAUAGAUUUUGAAUUUUUGGGCAAUAGAGAAGGCAAACCAUAUAGUUUGCAAACAAAUAUGUUUGUAAAUGGUGGUGGAAAUAGAGAACAAAGGGUGCAUCUUUGGUUUGAUCCAACUGCAGAAUUUCACAAUUAUAAAAUCAUGUGGAAUGAACAUCAAAUAGUGUAAGAUAAUUAUGUACAAUUUAUGUUAUAUAAUGCAUGUUUUUACGUCGGUAUGAAUUAGCGGAUUUUGAUUUUUCUAAUCCCUAUAUUCUUGAUCCAAUGCUGAGACAUAGUAUAUUCGUUCUAUCUUUCAUGACUUGUUAAUGAUAUAUAGGAGGUGUGAUACUAUAUAUGUUUUUCUUUUUAAAAAAUAAAUUAUUUUUCACCUAGUGUUUGGUAUUCAAAGUUGAGGCUUGAUUAAAUUCAAAUUUGAAUCAGAAAAUCUCACAUUGAGAGGUGAAGUUGUCCCUAAUAAAAGUGACUUCAUACCUAGAAGGACUCAUACCCGAGAUCUUUUGUUAAAAAUGAAGGAAUACUUACCACUCCACCAUAACAGACUUGAUUUAUAUAUGUUGUUCAUUUGAGUUGAAUCUUCUUUACCAUGUUGUUAUAACAUGUGUUGUCGAUCAAUCUUAGAAGAUGUUUGACUAAGCUUAUAUAAAAACGGGUGAAAAUUACCUUAUGAACACUUUUGGGCUUAUUGGCACAUCUGAUAACAUUAGAAGUGCUUUAUAAGCCAAAAUUAAUCAUAGGUUAAUUAUUCUUAAACUAAGUAACUUUACAACUUAUAAGUACUUUCGAUUUGAUCAAGUUUUCUAUAAUUAAAUCCUUAGCAUCUUUUGUAAUGCCCGAAGUACUCUUUCUAAAUCUUUUAGAAAUUUUCAUCAUAUCUUAUUCUAUUUCCAUCUUUCAUUCCUUUUUUAUAUAAAAAUUCAUUUUUUUUAUAUUUUCCAUAUAAAUAGCUUUAAGGAUAUUUUAGUUUUUUCAAUAAAAAGUGCUUAUCAACACCACCUCCUUUUUUUUA
rnacentral:lncRNA from 1 species